rnacentral:rRNA from 1 species
UACGUAGGGUGGCAAGCGUUUAAUCGGAAUUACUGGGCGUAAAGCGUGCGCAGGCGGUGAUGUAAGACAGAUGUGAAAUCCCCGGGCUCAACCUGGGAACUGCAUUUGUGACUGCAUCGCUGGAGUGCGGCAGAGGGGGGAUGGAAUUCCGCGUGUAGCAGUGAAAUGCGUAGAUAUGCGGAGGAACACCGAUGGCGAAGGCAAUCCCCUGGGCCUGCACUGACGCUCAUGCACGAAAGCGUGGGGAGCAAACAGG